AUGUCGUCUUCGGAGCUGCGCCUGCGCCCCGCCACCCCCUUCUCCGGCGACCUUCCCGCGGACGAGCUGUGCGAGGUCCUCCUUCGCCUCCCGGCCAAGGAGCUCUGCCGCCUCCGCGCUGUCUGCCCCGCCUGGCGCGCCCUCACCUCCGACCCGCUCUUCAUCGCGGCGCACAAGUCCCGCCACCGCACGGCGCCCCCGCUCCUCGCCAUGGCCUACCGCGACGACAGUGGGGUCAACGGCGUUGAGAUUUCGGAUUUGUCCGGCAAUGUGGUGAAGCGGAUACCAGGCGCCGGGUAUGAAAUUGUUCUGGUGGACGGGUUGUCAGGGGUUGCCGGUGGGCGGAUGUCAAGCAAGGACGAUACCAUCCGUGUUGCGCGCACGCGGCUUGACCUUGUCUGUUUCAACUGGAGGUUCUGCUCUGGAGACUUCUGGGUGCUGAACCCGGCCACCGGAGAUACCAUCACCUUGCCGAUGGGCUUCUCGGAGGAAUUGGCGCAUGAGCUAGAGGUGGAGGGGAUAAAGGAAUGGUGCUGCGGAGUCGAGUGGUGUGCUUUUGGGCAGGUCUCCUCUACAAGAGAGUACAAGGCGCUCCGCGUUUCUGACAUUGGUGAUCGGAAGGUAUGUGAGGUUAUCACCUUUGAUGCCGCCAACCAUGGAAACUGGAGAAAGCAGAACCCUCCAUCGGCCCACAUCUUUGCCAGUCUCAAGAUGAGGUCAUUGAAAUGCGUGGUCGUCGAUGGGGUGGUGUACUUCUUACUGGACUUCUACUCCACGUAUCAUGAAACUGGAGUUAUGACCAUUGAACCUGGCAGUGUAGCUUUGUUCAACCUCGAAACAGAGGAGUGGGGUAUUCUGCGUGGUCCAGAACAGGUGCAGAGGUUUGUACAAGAGAAUGACAUUUCUGGUUACUUAGAACUUGAACUCCAGUUAUCAUUGGCUGAGUUGAACGGCUGCUUAGUUAUGGUUCAUAAUAUUUAUAAGGUAUCUAUGGACUUGUGGUUUUUGACAGAUUUUGACAAAGGUAUCUGGGUUAAGAAAUACAGCAUGCCUUCACAUGUUGCUAGGUUUGGCAAUCCUUUUCUGAUGUUAGAUGAUGGGAGAAUUUUCUUCAAUCGGUUGGAUUAUGGACUAGGUUUCUUUAGUGCUGGAGAGCAUGGUGAGGGAUUUCUGCAAAGUUAUGAUCCAACAAAUGACACUUCUGGUGAGGCACUAAAACUGAAAGAGUCCAAAUCCAUUGGCGUUUACACAGGAAGCCUGCUGAGUUUAUAG
rnacentral:rRNA from 1 species